GGCAAACGGGUGCGGAACACGUACACAACCUACCUUUAAGUGGGGAAUAGCCCAGGGAAACUUGGAUUAAUACCCCGUAAUAUAUAGAAGUGGCAUCACUUUUAUAUGAUAGCUACGGCGCUUAAUGAUGGGUGUGCGGCUGAUUAGGUAGUUGGCGGGGUAACGGCCCACCAAGCCUACGAUCAGUAGCUGGUGUGAGAGCACGACCAGUCACACGGGCACUGAGACACGGGCCCGACUCCUACGGGAGGCAGCAGUAAGGAAUAUUGGGCAAUGGACGCAAGUCUGACCCAGCCAUGCCGCGUGGAGGAUGAAGGUCCUCUGGAUUGUAAACUUCUUUUAUCUGGGAAGAAACCCAUAUUUUCUAGUAUGGUUGACGGUACCAGACGAAUAAGCACCGGCUAACUCCGUGCCAGCAGCCGCGGUAAUACGGAGGGUGGCGAGCGUUGUCCGGAAUUACUGGGCGUAAAGGGCGUGUAGGCGGCCUUUUAAGUCAGAUGUGAAAUCUCAGGGCUUAACCCUGAAACUGCAUUUGAAACUGGAGGGCUUGAGGAUCGGAGAGGGCAGUGGAAUUCCCAGUGUAGCGGUGAAAUGCGUAGAUAUUGGGAGGAACACCAGUGGCGAAGGCGACUGCCUGGACGACACCUGACGCUGAGGCGCGAAAGCUAGGGGAGCGAACGGGAUUAGAUACCCCGGUAGUCC
rnacentral:rRNA from 1 species